AAGCACAGCUUCUUCAUAGCGCUUUGCCAGUGCAUUCCAGUUAUUUUUACUCAGUGGGUGUUCAGCGUCUGGAUGGUUCCAUCAAGGGAGAAAUCCGAAAACAGGCACUGGACCACUUCAAUGCAGAUGGGUCUGAGGACUUCUGUUUCCUGCUCUCGACAAGGGCUGGUGGCCUGGGAAUCAAUUUGGCUUCAGCGGACACAGUCGUCAUCUUUGACUCUGACUGGAACCCCCAGAAUGACUUGCAGGCACAAGCCCGAGCGCAUAGAAUUGGUCAGAAGAAGCAGGUAAAUAUUUACCGCUUAGUUACAAAGGGGACUGUGGAGGAGGAGAUCAUAGAACGGGCCAAAAAGAAGAUGGUAUUAGAUCAUCUGGUGAUUCAGCGCAUGGACACCACUGGCCGGACGAUCCUGGAAAACAACUCGGGAAGGUCCAACUCAAAUCCUUUUAAUAAAGAAGAGCUGACAGCUAUUUUGAAAUUUGGAGCAGAGGAUCUCUUCAAAGAACUGGAAGGGGAGGAAUCAGAACCUCAGGAAAUGGAUAUAGAUGAAAUUUUGCGGUUGGCUGAAACGAGAGAGAAUGAAGUGUCAACAAGUGCAACAGAUGAACUUCUAUCACAGUUUAAGGUUGCCAACUUUGCAACAAUGGAAGAUGAAGAAGAGCUGGAAGAGCGUCCUCACAAGGACUGGGAUGAGAUCAUUCCAGAGGAACAAAGGAAAAAAGUAGAGGAGGAAGAGCGGCAGAAGGAGCUAGAAGAAAUUUAUAUGCUGCCUCGAAUUCGGAGUUCCACUAAAAAGGCUCAGACAAAUGACAGUGACUCUGACACUGAGUCUAAGAGGCAGGCCCAGAGAUCCUCUGCUUCUGAGAGUGAAACGGAAGACUCUGAUGAUGACAAGAAGCCAAAGCGCAGAGGGCGUCCGAGGAGUGUGCGGAAGGACCUCGUGGAGGGAUUUACUGAUGCAGAGAUCCGAAGGUUCAUCAAGGCUUAUAAGAAGUUUGGUCUCCCUCUUGAACGGCUGGAGUGCAUAGCACGUGAUGCUGAGCUGGUAGAUAAGUCGGUGGCAGAUCUGAAGCGCCUGGGUGAACUGAUCCACAACAGCUGUGUGUCAGCAAUGCAGGAAUACGAAGAGCAGCUGAAAGAAAAUGCCAGCGAGGGAAAAGGACCAGGGAAAAGGAGAGGUCCAACAAUCAAGAUAUCCGGAGUUCAGGUUAAUGUGAAAUCCAUUAUCCAACAUGAAGAGGAGUUUGAGAUGCUGCAUAAAUCUAUCCCUGUGGACCCUGAAGAAAAAAAAAAAUACUGCUUAACCUGUCGUGUCAAAGCUGCACAUUUUGAUGUAGAGUGGGGGGUGGAAGAUGAUUCUCGCCUGUUGCUGGGGAUUUAUGAACAUGGCUAUGGAAACUGGGAGUUAAUUAAAACAGACCCAGAGCUUAAAUUAACUGACAAAAUUCUGCCGGUGGAGACAGAUAAAAAGCCUCAGGGGAAGCAGCUACAGACCCGAGCGGAUUACUUGUUGAAGCUGCUCAGAAAGGGUCUGGAGAAGAAGGGGGCUGUGACAGGUGGGGAAGAGGCCAAAUUAAAGAAGCGGAAGCCUCGGGUAAAGAAGGAAAACAAAGUGCCCAGGCUGAAAGAGGAGCAUGGAAUUGAGCUUUCAUCUCCUAGGCAUUCAGAUAAUCCAUCAGAAGAGGGAGAAGUGAAAGAUGAUGGCUUGGAAAAAAGUCCAAUGAAAAAAAAACAGAAGAAGAAAGAGAACAAGG
rnacentral:sRNA from 1 species